rnacentral:lncRNA from 1 species
GCCAUUAUUCUUCAUUGGAGGGGAGAUUAGAGCCGUUUGAAGGGAGUUGUGAAAUCUUUAUCGAUUUCAAGGAUUCUUAGGACUUUAUCUUUAUUUCUUGUUGUCAUUCUUUUUUUUUUUUAAAUUUUGCUUGUACCGUUUUCUUUAUCUAACUUAUUUCAAUUCUUUUAUUGUGUUUCCAGCCAACUUCAACCUUAAAGAAAUCGAUCAGCACUCUUCUUGGCAGCAAGAAAACGUUCUUCAAUCAUCCUUUUCCAUUGAUCUUGCCGUCCAAACAACCUAUCCUCAUUCUAUUUCAAUUUUUGGGUUGUUGUGAUGUGUUGCGUUUUAAUUUUCUGUUUC